GAGGAAUAUUGGUCAAUGGGUGCAAGCCUGAACCAGCCAUCCCGCGUGAAGGACGACUGCCCUAUGGGUUGUAAACUUCUUUUGUAUAGGGAUAAACCUACUCUCGUGAGAGUAGCUGAAGGUACUAUACGAAUAAGCACCGGCUAACUCCGUGCCAGCAGCCGCGGUAAUACGGAGGGUGCAAGCGUUAUCCGGAUUUAUUGGGUUUAAAGGGUCCGUAGGCGGACUUAUAAGUCAGUGGUGAAAGCCUGUCGCUUAACGAUAGAACUGCCAUUGAUACUGUAAGUCUUGAGUAUAUUUGAAGUAGCUGGAAUAAGUAGUGUAGCGGUGAAAUGCAUAGAUAUUACUUAGAACACCAAUUGCGAAGGCAGGUUACUAAGAUAUAACUGACGCUGAGGGACGAAAGCGUGGGGAGCGAAC
rnacentral:rRNA from 1 species